rnacentral:rRNA from 1 species
AGGUGAUAUAUUGAAAAUAGGUAUAUGAAAUUAAUAUUAUUUUAAGGAUAAUGAAUCAAAAUUUUAAAUAAUGAUAAAAAGAUAUAAUUAUAUCAAUCAUAAUCAUGAAAAUGAAAAUAAAAAUAAAACCUAGUGGAAUGAAACAUCUGAGUAACUAGUUAAAUAACCAACAGGGAUAAUAUAAGUAACGGUGAGUGAAAAUAUUAAAAUCUUAAAGUAUUGCCUAGAGGUAAGAAUACAGUAGUUUCCAACUACUAAGAAUAUAAAUAAAAUUUUAGAUUAAAGUACUGUAAGGGAAAAUUAAGAAAUAGAAUAAUAAAGAGCAGUCAUAGUAUGGCGUACCUCUUGUAUAAUGGGCCAGUGAGUUAUAUAAUUUAGUGAAAAAUAUAUGUUUAUUUUUAUAUAUAAAUAGAUAGAUAAUUAAAUUAUAUAGGCCCGAAAGCAAACGAUCUACACAUGUCCAAGUGUAUAUAUAUAUCUUAAAAAAUUAUAUAUAUAUGACUCAAUAGGUAAUUGUAGCAAUAAUUUCUAAAGAGGUGUGUGUAGUUGUGACAGACAAAUCUGGUUUGCAGAUAGCUGGUUUUCUGCGAAAUAUAUUUUAGUAUAGCCUUUAUUAUUUUUUAAACUGGUACAGCACUUAAAUAACUUUGGGGAAUUAGAAUAUAAUUUUAUCAAAAUAUUUAAACCUCGGAAUCAGUUAAUAAUUUAUAUAAGGAGUCAGACUUAUUGCGAUAAGGUAGUAGGUCGAGAAGGAAACAACCUAGACUAUUAAAUGAAUGUCCCAAAUAUUAAUUAAGUGAACAAAAUCUAUCCUACUUUAAACGAGUUAAUACUCGGGGAAUUAAAUUAUAGACAAUUAGUAAGUGGGUUUGACAAUAAUCAACUUUUAAUGAACAUGUAACAAUGCACUAAUUUUAUAUAUAUAUAUAAUUUAUAUAUUUAUUAAUAAUAGAGAAAAUAUACGGGUCUAAAUUAAUAACAGUAUUAUAGAUAUAAUGCCCUCCCUUUGGGAGGGAAUACCCCAGCUUUGCUGGGGAAUGAAAGUUAUAUGGUAGCAGAAUAUAUAAUGUAAAAUUAUAAAGAGAUUGCUGGCUUGAGUAACGAUAGAUAAUAUAAGAUUAUCCCCUUAUUCAUAAGGUUUUACUAUAAACGAACGGUCCCUAAGAUAAAUAUAGAAGUAUAUAAUUAAUGGGUGAAAGAACAAGAAAAUGAAAAUGAACCGUACUGUAAACCGACACAGGUAUGAUAAAUAAAGGGAAUGGGAUAACUACUUUGAAUGAACUCGGCAAAAUAAAUCGUGCGACUGUUUACCAAAAACAUAGCUUAUUGCAUACUAGUAAUAGUAAGUAUAAUAAGUGAUAUCUGCCCGGUGUUAGUUCAAUAAAUAUUGUUAUUAAAUAGAUAACUUUAUAAAAAACUGAUAAACGGCGGUCUUAUUGUGAGGAUCCGAAGGUAGCGGUGCGACAAGAAGUUCGUAUUAAGAAUGUGGUGUAACUCCACUAACAACAAUCGUAUUUGUUAAAUCUAUCUUAACAUGCAUUAUGAGCAAUUAUUUUGUAUGAAGCUUAAGAGACAAAGGUGAUAAGCUUUAGCUGAUAUAAGUGAACUCAUCCAGAUUAGAACGACAUGAUUAGUAUAUCAAAACAGUGGACUAAAAUUUCGUUAAAGGAGAAUAACAUGAUCAGUAGGGUUAUUAAAAUGACUAGAAAGAAAAUCAUCGCUGCAGAUUUCUUUAUACGAUUGUAAAAAAAACAAGGGUCAUCGGAAUAUAGCUGUAAUCUAAAUCGUUCAAUAAAAGUCUUAAUACGGGAACUUGGUAAACCUUUAACACCCCUAUCCAGGAAACUGAAUAGGAAGUAACAUAUAAAAUAAUUUAGCAGAUUAUAGAAAUUGUUAUACAGUGUUGGAGGCAAAGGAUAAACAGAAAAAGCGAAAGGUUUUACGUAAUAUAAAACAUAUAGAUAAAUAUCUAAUUUCGAAAGAAAGCAGACUUCUGUAUAAGGCUAAUAGAUCAAAAACGUAAUUUGACUUGAAUUUUAGCAUUUAAUUUCGUAAUAAACUUGGGUGCUUAUUUAUAUAAGAGAUGGAAUAUUACUUCUUAAUUAAAUGAUCCUUUCUAAAUUUUAGAAGUUACCUUUAUUCGAAAGGAAAAAUAAUAAUAAAAAACUAUGAAAUGAUAAAAUGAAAUUGAGACUUAAUAAACUGAAACAUUGUUAACAAACAUGUUUUCAAAAUACAAAUGAAAUUGGUGACAGCAAUAAAUAAUAACGAUUUAAAAAAGAUGGAAGCUUUACAGAGAAUAUUAAUAAGAAAUCACUGAGCUAAAUUGUUAGCUAUUAAAAAGGUAUUAUCAACAUCUGGAAGUAAAACUCCAGGAAUAGAUAAUUUCAAAGUUAAAGAUGAAAUAGAUAUACAAUAUCUAUAUAAGUUUUUAAGCAAUAUUAAUAGAUAUAAAGCAUACCCAGUUAAGAGAGUAGGUUUUCCUAAGGAGAAUGGUAAAACAAGAUAUCUGGGUAUACCUACUAUUCAAGAUAGAUGUAUGCAAAGUUUAUUUACAUUGGCUUUAUAUCCAUAUUCUGAAACAACGGCGGAUUAUAAUUCAUAUGGUUUUAGACCUAAUAAAUCAACUAAUGAUGCGAUAUAUGUUUUAUAUAAAAGUCAGUUUGAAAAAUCAAGUGCUUUACCUAAAAUAAACUGAGUUCUAGAUGCUGAUAUCAAAGGUUUAUUUGAUAACAUAUCACAUGAAUGAAUCUUGAAUAAUAUUCCUAUCAAUAAGGUAAUCUUAAAUGAAUUCCUGAAGGCUGGUUUCUUUGAAGCUGGUUUGAAAGAACUUCAAUCAACAAAUUUAGGAAUACCCCAAGGUGGACUAAUUUCACCGAUGAUAGCCAAUAUUACUUUGGACGGUUUAGAAAAAUAUGUAAAGGACGGUUUAAAAGAGAAGAAUAUUUAUUCUUCGAUUAUCUUUAAAACUAGAAUGAUUAGAUAUGCGGACGAUUUUAUAUUUAUAUGUCCUCAUAAAUGGGUUGCUGAAAGAUGUCUUUACUUUGUAAAUAAAUUCCUAAGCAUUAGAGGGUUAAAACUUAAUAUGGAUAAAAGUAAAAUAAUAGAUAUUUCCAAAGAAAGAGUUGAUUAUCUUGGAUUUUCCAUCAUAAGGACAAACGAUAAUAAGAAAACUCUUAUUAUUCCAAAUCCUGAAAAAGUUGAUACCUUUAUUAGAAAAAUUCUUAAACUUAUUAAGAAAUCAAAUAAACCUUAUGACAUUAUCGUAACGCUUAACCCCAUUUUAAUGGAUUGAGCCAAUUAUUAUAAAGGUUGUUCGGCUACUGAUACUUUUAAUAAAGUGGAUAGAGCUAUUCAUAUUGGAUUAAUUAAGUGAGGUAAAAAGAGAUUAUUGACAAGAUCCACAAGAGAUGUUUAUAAUAAGUACUUCCAUAUGAAAGAUAAAACUAAAGAAUUAUUCUUCUACGAUAAAAUAAGUAAUGGUAAAUUUAUAUGGCUAUAUGAUCUGAAAUCUGUAAAGAUUAAAUAUCAUAAAUAUAUUAAUAACUCAGUUUUCAAAUUAAGAAAGACUAAAUAGUAGAAAUUUUAAUAAAUCUGAAUUAUUGGAUGUUGGUAGACGGAUAGGAAAUCUGUCUAUUUCUAUAGUUUGAGCCGUGUGCGAUGAAAGUCGCACGCACGGUUCUAGAGGGGGGAAAGUCUGAGAGGACCUACCUAUCCUGACAAAUUCAUUGACGUAUAAUUGACGUCCUGCAUGAAUGAAUAAACGAUGCGAUAACUGUAUCCAAAGUAGACUCAGUGAAAUAGCAAUUGCGGUGAAAUUAGUACUAUUAUAUCAUAUUGAUAUUUUUACGCCGGGUUGGUGAAAAUCCAACUUUAUAGUUAUAUCUUAGAUGAAUAUUAAUAAAUAAGAAUACAAUCGAAUAAUAUUCUACUUUUUUUUUAAAAAGGUAAUUUACAUAUAGGCAAUAUGUAUUUUAUAAAUAAUUAUAAAUAAAAGGUGAAAACGGUUAAUGACAUCUUAGUUAAAGACCGUCGGCAGUUGUAUAUGUCGCUACAGACUGGUUCACCGAGGUUAGACUGAAAUGUCUGUCUAAAUGUACAGUCGGAUUCUGUAAUAUAAUAUUAAUGUAUUAUAUAAAGGUGAAAGAUAUAAACCCAAAUUGGGUCUAAGCUUAUUAGUACAGAAGUAAUAAACCUUUAUGGGUCAAACCCAUUUAAGUUAAUCAGAAUUGGAAGAUGCCGUAUAUCCGUAGGUUGACAAAAAGACCCUAUGCAGCUUUACUAUAUCUUUAUUUUGAUUUUUACCUUCGGGUUUACUUUUUUUAUUCAUUUCAGUAGAUUAGGUUAUAUUUAUAUUUUAAAUAAAAUGAGAUACCUAUAUAAAUGAAAAAAGAAUCUAAUUAAUUUAAAACAUAUAUGCCGGCCCUCUGGGCGGGUUAUGAUAAUAUUUAAGAAAGAGUAAAGAGGUUAGUUUCGAUGGGGCGUCGACAUCAGCGAAAGCAUCUGAUGUGUCUAAUAAUAAUGAUUUUGAUAAUAAUCAAAACUAAAUAUUGAAUUAAAUUUUUUAUUUAAUAGUAAAAUACGUACAAUAAUUCUAUAUGGUAAAUAGAAUAAAAGAUUAUAAGUAAGGAUAACAACAUAAUUGUGCGAUGAUAAUAACACAAACAAGUGAAAUUAGUACAUAAGUAGAGUGUAGUGAACAGGCAUAAACAAUUGGUAUGGAUGUCGAUAACGAAUUAAAGUUACGCUAGGGAUAAAAUGUUAGUCCCUUAUAUAUAGAAAUAUAUAUUUUAUAACAAAAUUGGGUGAAUUGCAUAAAAGUCUUAAUCAUAUCGGUAUAAGAUGAUAACCUCAAAAGAGAUAAUCAACUUUAUGAAAAGAUAAUUUGCAGCGAAGUUUAUAUUAGUUUCUUUGUAGAUAUAAAAACGUUCAACGACUAGUAGAUGAGUAAACUAACAAUAAUUCUACCACGAGCGCCCAACAUCUAAGAUUUAGAAAAAUAUAAAAAUAAAUUAUGAUGAUGACAUAGUCUGAACUAUAUAGAAAUAUAUAGAAGUUGAUAUAAAGAGAUCAACGAUAACAAAAUUGAACAGGGUAAUACCGCGUGAGAGUUGAUAUCGUCAGCGGUGUUUGCCACCUCGAUGUCGUCUAGACUCGUCCUCCUGGUCGCAGCAACUAGGUAGGGUAGGACUGUUCGUCCUCUAAGGAGUUACUUGAGAUGGGUUAAUUACGACGUGAGUCAGUAAUGAUUUUAUCAUCUAUGGAUCUUAACUUAUCUGUUGCCUUAAGUGUACGCAAGGAUAAUAAGGUACUUUCCUAUGGUUAAUUUAUUUAAUUUAGCUAAGAAUGUUGUGUUUACAUAUUGAAUGCAUAUCAAAUAUUAAAUCCUUCAGAUAAGUUUUUAACAUUAUAGACUAUAAUGUAUUAGUAAUUUUGUAUAAGAUUGCAAAAAUAAACCCCCAGUUUUGCUGGGUGGAAACUAAAUAAUAAAAUUCAUAUACCU